rnacentral:rRNA from 1 species
GACAGAGGGGGCAAGCGUUGCUCGGAAUCACUGGGCGUAAAGGGCGUGUAGGCUGACCGGAAAGUCGGGCGUGAAAGCCCUGGGCUCAACCCAGGAACUGCACUCGAAACUCCCGGUCUAGAGUGGUGGAGAGGGAAGUGGAAUUCCUGGUGUAGAGGUGAAAUUCGUAGAUAUCAGGAGGAACACCAAUAGCGAAGGCAGCUCGCUGGGACGUUACUGACACUGAGGCGCGAAAGCGUGGGGAGCGAACAGG